CACGGCUGACCUCGGGUGCACGGCUGACCUUGGGUACAUGGCUACUUGUGUUGUUACCACAUGUCAUAACAGUAGGCACGCCGUCAUCUCCCCUCAACAUCACCUGUUUUACAAAUGGAUCUAUCAACGUUCUUCAGAACAACUCUAAUAAUCCUGAGAUAUUUGUGGUUGGAAGCAGACCCGCUUGUUCUGAUGCUGAGAAACAUUUCACAGUUGACUCCAGGGGACACUUGCUGAAUACGUCAUGCAAAGCCAGCAACGGUAUAUAUACUACAGGUGCUGGAUUUCAACAAGGCCAAAGCCACAGGCUUCACCUUGACUGUGUAUAAUGUCUCAUGUGAUAACGGCACGGCUUCUCAAGUUAACAUCGCCCCAGCAAGAUACGUUCCAUAUUUGGAGGAGGUUGCACUACCGACGUUACAUAUGGUCAUAUUGCCCGCUAACACAGUUCUCAACACAUCAAUGACAUCAUCGAGUCUGGGUUCCAUGUACCUGGGUCAAGAGGUUAUGCUGACCAUCUACAACAACAGGUC